AUGCCGAUCCCCCUGCCCCGCCUGGGAGAAGCCAAUGGCCAGAGCCCAGCGGAGGGCACCGCUCACUGCUGGGGAGGCUGGGGGCACCCACAGCCCUGCCACGGCUCUGCUGCCCCCUCCAAGGCUCCCCCAGGGGGCACGGGGAGGGGUGUCCCAGUGCGGGGAGGAAGAGUCGGGGGCAGUGGGCAGCACACCGGCUCUGCCCCACCCCGUGCUGUACCCUGUCCAGGGAGCAGGAAGGCCGAUGACCCUGCACCGUGGAGGAGGCCUUUGGGGAGGUUUGUGUGGGUGAUGAUUUGUCCUCUUCCACUGGUCCCUGCCAUACUGCUGGGGUCUGGGAAGGGGAUGGGGAGGUGGGUGACGGGGAGCCGGGGCCUUGCCAGCAGCCCCGGACCCCCGGCAGCCCCGGCUGCCUCCCUGCCAUGGGAGGUGCUGGCAGCCAUUGAUGUAGCAAGUGUCCCUGUCUGUGUGUCAUUGUGUGUCCCAGCCACUGCCACUGGCAGCCCCUGUCCCCCUGCCCUGCCCCACACGGCUCAGGCCCUGCCGGAGGCACGGUCCCCUCUGGCUGGAGCCACGCUCCGGGCGCGGUGCCGGCCGUCCAGUGGGUUGGAUGCUCGGGGCCGGGCUGGCUCUGCUGUGCCAGUGUCCCCGUGGCCCCUCUGCAGACUCUUUGUACCCAGGGACUGGAGGAGGUGGCAGCGGUGCACCCCAGGCUGGCCUGCACAGCCCGGGAGCAGGGGAGGGAGCUCCGAGUGGCCUCCGUGGGCCCGCCUGAUUCUCUGUGCUGUCCCCAUCACCCCUCCUUGCUGUCACCCCUUCCCCAAACCUGUCACCCUCCCCUGGGGCUGGCGGGGAAGCGGCAGCAGGACCGACCCUGCCGGGGCUGGCUGCAGCGAGGCAGGGCACGGUGGCAGCAGCCACUGGUGGCCCCUUAGUGACAAAGUCCUGGGGUGUGCGUGGAGGUCACACCUUCCCUCCUGGAUUUGGGCACCCAGCAGAGCAGGGAGCUCACCCCACCGCCGUGGUGGGGAAGCUGUGGGGGCACUCCAAAGCAGGAGCACCCUGCUGUGGUUCGGGCUUCCCCCCCAUGGGGUGGGUGCCGUGGGGCAGCCCCGGUGCCCCAAUUCCCCACAAAGGGCUAUAACGCUUUCCAGCAGCAGCAGCAGCAGUUUACAGAGCAGGGGCCGCCCCCGCCCCCGCCGUGCCCCGUCCCCGGCACCCCCGGGCCCGGCGUUAGACGUAGCAUUGCCCCACGUAGAGAGCUAG
rnacentral:lncRNA from 1 species